UACGGAGGGUGCAAGCGUUAAUCGGAAUUACUGGGCGUAAAGCGUGCGUAGGUGGACUGUUAAGUCAGAUGUGAAAGCCCCGGGCUCAACCUGGGAAUUGCAUUUGAUACUGGCAAUCUAGAGUAUGGUAGAGGAUAGUGGAAUUCCUGGUGUAGCAGUGAAAUGCGUAGAUAUCAGGAGGAACAUCAGUGGCGAAGGCGACUAUCUGGACUAAUACUGACACUGAGGCACGAAAGCGUGGGUAGCGAAC
rnacentral:rRNA from 1 species